rnacentral:rRNA from 1 species
CCUACGGGUGGCUGCAGUGGGGAAUAUUGCACAAUGGGCGCAAGCCUGAUGCAGCCAUGCCGCGUGUGUGAAGAAGGUCUUCGGGUUGUAAAGCACUUUCAGCGGGGAGGAAGGCGUUAAGGUUAAUAACCUUGGCGAUUGACGUUACCCGCAGAAGAAGCACCGGCUAACUCCGUGCCAGCAGCCGCGGUAAUACGGAGGGUGCAAGCGUUAAUCGGAAUUACUGGGCGUAAAGCGCACGCAGGCGGUCUGUCAAGUCGGAUGUGAAAUCCCCGGGCUCAACCUGGGAACUGCAUUCGAAACUGGCAGGCUAGAGUCUUGUAGAGGGGGGUAGAAUUCCAGGUGUAGCGGUGAAAUGCGUAGAGAUCUGGAGGAAUACCGGUGGCGAAGGCGGCCCCCUGGACAAAGACUGACGCUCAGGUGCGAAAGCGUGGGGAGCAAACAGGAUUAGAUACCCGUGUAGUC